CAAUACUCGCUGGCGACCGGCGCACGGGUGCGUAACACGUAUGCAACUUUCCUUCAACUGGAAGAUAGCCCGAAGAAAUUCGGAUUAAUAUUCCAUAGUUAUAUGAAAUGGCAUCAUUUUAUAUUUAAAGCUCAGGCGGUUGAAGAUGGGCAUGCGUUCGAUUAGCUAGUUGGUGAGGUAAUGGCUCACCAAGGCUACGAUCGAUAGGGGAUCUGAGAGGAUUAACCCCCACACUGGUACUGAGACACGGACCAGACUCCUACGGGAGGCAGCAGUAAGGAAUAUUGGACAAUGGAGGCAACUCUGAUCCAGCCAUGCCGCGUGAAGGAUGAAGGUCCUAUGGAUUGUAAACUUCUUUUGAACGGGAGAAAACCUUCGGUCGUGUACCGAAGCUGAUAGUACCGUUAGAAUAAGGGUCGGCUAACUUCGUGCCAGCAGCCGCGGUAAUACGAAGGACCCGAGCGUUAUCCGGAUUUAUUGGGUUUAAAGGGUGCGUAGGCGGAAUGGUAAGUCAGUGGUGAAAUCUUGUGGCUUAACUGCAAAACUGCCAUUGAUACUGCCAAUCUUGAGUACAUUUGAUGUGGGCGGAAUGUGCCAUGUAGUGGUGAAAUACUUAGAUAUGGCACAGAACACCGAUCGCGAAGGCAGCUCACAAAACUGUUACUGACGCUGAGGCACGAAAGCGUGGGGAUCAAACAGGAUUAGAUACCCUGGUAGUCCACGCCUUAAACUAUGAUUACUCGAUGUGUGCGAUACACAGUACGCGUCUAAGCGAAAGCGUUAAUAAUCCACCUGGGGAGUACGGUCGCAAGAUUGAAACUCAAAGAAAUUGACGGGGGCCCGCACAAGCGGAGGAGCAUGUGGUUUAAUUCGAUGAUACGCGAGGAACCUUACCUGGGCUUGAAAGUUAGUGAAUGCUGUGGAAACAUGGCAGGCCGCAAGGACACGAAACUAGGUGCUGCAUGGCUGUCGUCAGCUCGUGCCGUGAGGUGUUGGGUUAAGUCCCGCAACGAGCGCAACCCCUAUCUUUAGUUGCCAGCGAGUAUUGUCGGGGACUCUAAAGAAACUGCCCGUGCAAACGGUGAGGAAGGUGGGGAUGACGUCAAGUCAGCACGGCCCUUACGUCCAGGGCUACACACGUGCUACAAUGGCGAGUACAAAGGGCAGCUACAUGGUGACAUGAUGCUAAUCUCUAAAACUCGUCUCAGUUCGGAUUGAAGUCUGCAAUUCGACUUCAUGAAGCUGGAUUCGCUAGUAAUCGGAUAUCAGCAAUGAUUCGGUGAAUACGUUCCCGGGCCUUGUACACACCGCCCGUCAAACAAUGGAAGCUGAGGGUACUUAAAGUCGAUAACC
rnacentral:rRNA from 1 species